rnacentral:pre_miRNA from 9 species
UCUCGAUAGCGUAAAAGUUAACUCAAAUUUGUAUGGAGUUAGAACGUUUUCCCACGUUUGCCGCUAGAGGCGCUGUUACAACUGCAUACAAAUUUGAAUUAACUUUUACGCUAUGGA